GUGUGCGCGCUUCAGGGCCAAUUUCAGCAGGACGCUCUAUUUCCUGCUUACUUUUAAAUCCUCCUUCAAGAUGCAUAUUUCAGUGCGAUUUUUCGUAUUCUCUUCGUGAGAGAAUGUAGCCCAUUUCUUUCCUUUUCAUAGGCUACACCUCGACCUGACGUUUUGGGCUGUGCCAAUUGUGCUUACUAUAGACCCCUCAGGGGGUAAGCUGACGACGGCGGUAUAUAGGCGGUAUCGGGCAAGAAAAGGUGAGGUUUAACGGGGGUUAUCGGUUUCAAGAACAGGCUCCUCUAGAUGGGUCUAAAGCACCGCCAAGUCCUUUGGGUUUCAAGCUAAUGCUCGUAGUUCCCGGGCGGAUAGUGGGUGU
rnacentral:rRNA from 1 species